rnacentral:rRNA from 1 species
UACGUAGGGCGCAAGCGUUGUCCGGAAUUAUUGGGCGUAAAGAGCUCGUAGGCGGCUUGUCACGUCGGGUGUGAAAGCCCGGGGCUUAACCCCGGGUCUGCAUUCGAUACGGGCUAGCUAGAGUGUGGUAGGGGAGAUCGGAAUUCCUGGUGUAGCAGUGAAAUGCGUAGAUAUCAGGAGGAAUACCGAUGGCGAAGGCAGGUCUCUGGGCUGACACUGACGCUCAUGCACGAAAGCGUGGGGAGCAACAGG